rnacentral:rRNA from 1 species
GUAGGGAAUAUUGGACAAUGGGCGAAAGCCUGAUCCAGCAAUGCCGCGUGAGUGAUGAAGGCCUUAGGGUUGUAAAGCUCUUUUACCAGGGAUGAUAAUGACAGUACCUGGAGAAUAAGCUCCGGCUAACUCCGUGCCAGCAGCCGCGGUAAUACGGAUGGAGCUAGCGUUGUUCGGAAUUACUGGGCGUAAAGCGCGCGUAGGCGGCGAUUUAAGUCAGAGGUGAAAGCCCGGGGCUCAACCCCGGAAUAGCCUUUGAGACUGGAUUGCUAGAAUCCUGGAGAGGUGAGUGGAAUUCCGAGUGUAGAGGUGAAAUUCGUAGAUAUUCGGAAGAACACCAGUGGCGAAGGCGGCUCACUGGACAGGUAUUGACGCUGAGGUGCGAAAGCGUGGGGAGCAAACAGGAUUAGAAACCCGGGUAGUCC